ACGGUGGAUGCCCUGGCAGUCAGAGGCGAUGAAGGGCGUACUAAUCUGCGAUAAGCGCCGGUAAGGUGAUAUGAACCGUUAUAACCGGCGAUACCCGAAUGGGGAAACCCAGUGUGAUUCGUCACACUAUCAUUAACUGAAUCCAUAGGUUAAUGAGGCGAACCGGGGGAACUGAAACAUCUAAGUACCCCGAGGAAAAGAAAUCAACCGAGAUUCCCCCAGUAGCGGCGAGCGAACGGGGAGGAGCCCAGAGCCUGAAUCAGCAUGUGUGUUAGUGGAAGCGUCUGGAAAGGCGCGCGAUACAGGGUGACAGCCCCGUACACAAAAGCGCAUGUGCUGUGAGCUCGAUGAGUAGGGCGGGACACGUGGUAUCCUGUCUGAAUAUGGGGGGACCAUCCUCCAAGGCUAAAUACUCCUGACUGACCGAUAGUGAACCAGUACCGUGAGGGAAAGGCGAAAAGAACCCCGGCGAGGGGAGUGAAAAAGAACCUGAAACCGU
rnacentral:rRNA from 2 species